rnacentral:rRNA from 1 species
AUUGAACGCUGGCGGCAUGCCUUACACAUGCAAGUCGAACGGCAGCACGGGGGCAACCUUGGUGGCGAGUGGCGAACGGGUGAGUAAUGCAUCGGAACGUGCCCAGUAGUGGGGGAUAACUAGUCGAAAGAUUAGCUAAUACCGCAUACGACCUAUGGGUGAAAGCGGGGGAUUCGCAAGAACCUCGCGCUAUCGGAGCGGCCGAUGUCUGAUUAGCUAGUGGCGGGGUAAAAGCCCACCAAGGCGACGAUCAGUAGCUGGUCUGAGAGGACGACCAGCCACACUGGGACUGAGACACGGCCCAGACUCCUACGGGAGGCAGCAGUGGGGAAUUUUGGACAAUGGGCGCAAGCCUGAUCCAGCCAUGCCGCGUGCGGGAAGAAGGCC